GAUUAACUCAUGAGAAAUUAUUAGGUGUACGCAGUGCAUAUAUAUCUUCUCUAACAAUCAUGUGUGAAAUUCAUUUGUUAUAUAAUAAGGAGGAUCCACUUUCUAUGAGAGAGGAAACACCUAACAAUUAGCCUUAACUCAUACAUUGUAAACAUCACGUAUGGCUCCCAUUACUUUAUCUGUUAGUUCAGGCCCAAACAACCUUGGAAAGUUGGAUCCCAAAUCAAUCUCGAUGGUUUUCUUCUUAACAAGCUCGUCCCUCUUCUUCAAAUAAGCCUUUUCCUCCUCCCUCGCCUCUCUCCCUCCACAAGCACAAUGAUCCAACCACAAGCCAAGAACUUCUACUGCAACAGGCUCUACGUGAUUUUUUACAAUCUCCUCCAUGGGGCCUGCUCCACCUUCCUCAGUUUCUACACGAAUCAUUAUCGCUGUGGGUGAGAGAAGGCUGCGAAGGUAAAGGGAUGAAGUGACGUAAGGUUGAACCUCUGGGAGUUUCUGAAGCAUUUGCCUGCGCGUUUCCAACUGAGAAUCCUCAUAGAAAGUUUGGAGAUAAUCUGGAUAAAGGACAAGGUCCUUUCGAGGAGGCAAAUCAAGAAUUAAGACGAGAGAUGUUGGACUGCUCUGGAUAAGCUCGAUUACGAAGUUCGGCGCAUCAGUUGAAAGGUUCAAAUAGGCUGAAAGGCUUGUUAUGUUCAAUGCUGCGCCAGUUGGUAGCUUACAAUGUAGCCAACUUCCCAAUAUGAAAUCAACAGUAGAAGACUGUUGACCGGAUCUAAUGUGAAGCGAGGCUUGGGCGGUUCCACUUUCGUUCUGGCAGUGCUGUACGUCAAGUGGAAGAGUACAAGGGAGGAGCUGCAAACCAAGGCGAUUCUCUACCGUCGACAAGAGAUUAACCAUCAGAGCCCGGUGAGGGACGGAGACGAAAGGGAACUCCAGGAAUUUUGCACGUCCCUGGUUGUGGAGGUCCAUCUCGGAUGAUGGUUGUGAGGCAGAGGAAGCGGCAGAGAGUUUGAUUCUCGAUGAUUUGAAUGGAGGUGAAAAGAGAGAAGUUUUAGGAGGAGAAGGAAAGCGUAGAAUGUGGCAGAAACUCACGGCCAUUAAUUUGGAAGCUUUUGCCUCAAGACAAGAUCACUCUCUCUGAUAUUUACAUGGCUGCUAGUGCUUUC
rnacentral:misc_RNA from 1 species